GAUUGUGACAGUGACCGGGCUGUGACAUCCGUCACCCCAUUGAUCCCCAGGGCUGAUGGCUGAUCUGGCUGGCUAGGGGGCUGUCCCCUUCCUCCCUCCUCCCUCCUCCCUCC
rnacentral:snRNA from 1 species